CCCUUAGAUGUCCUGGGCCGCGCGCGCGCUACACUGAUGCAUGCAACGAGUUUAUAACCUUGGCCUGAAAGGUCUGGGUAAUCUUUUGAACGUGCAUCGUGAUAGGGAUAGAUUAUUGCAAUUGUUAAUCUUGAACGAGGAAUUCCUAGUAAACGCGAGUCAUCAGCUCGCAUUGAUUACGUCCCUGCCCUUUGUACACACCGCCCGUCGCACCUACCGAUUGAAUGCUCAGGUGAGCCAUUCGGACUUUCAUCAUGCUGGUUUCCAGUUUUGAUGAAGGAAAGUCUUGCGAACCUUAUCAUUUAGAGGAAGGAGAAGUCGUAACA
rnacentral:rRNA from 1 species